rnacentral:rRNA from 1 species
CCUACGGGAGGCAGCAGUCGGGAAUUUUGGGCAAUGGGCGAAAGCCUGACCCAGCAACGCCGCGUGAAGGAUGAAGUAUUUCGGUAUGUAAACUUCGAAAGAAUGGGAAGAAUAAAUGACGGUACCAUUUAUAAGGUCCGGCUAACUACGUGCCAGCAGCCGCGGUAAUACGUAGGGUGCGAGCGUUAAUCGGAAUUACUGGGCGUAAAGCGUGCGCAGGCGGUUGUGUAAGACAGAUGUGAAAUCCCCGGGCUCAACCUGGGAACUGCAUUUGUGACUGCACGGCUCGAGUACGGCAGAGGGGGAUGGAAUUCCGCGUGUAGCAGUGAAAUGCGUAGAUAUGCGGAGGAACACCGAUGGCGAAGGCAGUCCCCUGGGCCUGUACUGACGCUCAUGCACGAAAGCGUGGGGAGCAAACAGGAUUAGAUACCCUGGUAGUCCACGCCCUAAACGAUGUCAACUGGUUGUUGGGUGGGUUUCUACUCAGUAACGAAGCUAACGCGUGAAGUUGACCGCCUGGGGAGUACGGCCGCAAGGUUGAAACUCAAAUGAAUUGACGG